rnacentral:rRNA from 1 species
AUUGAACGCUGGCGGCAUGCUUUACACAUGCCAGUCGAACGGCAGCGCGGGCUUCGUCCUGGCUGCGAGUGGCGAACGGGUGAGUAAGUCAUCGGAACGUGCCCAGUCGUGGGGGAUAGCCCGGCGAAAGCCGGAUUAAUACCGCAUACGACCUGAGGGUGAAAGAGGGGGAUCGAAAGGCCUCGCGCAAUCGGAGGGGCCGAUGUUGGAUUAGCUAGUUGGUGGGGUAAAGGCCUACCAAGGCGACGAUCCGUAGCUGGUCUGAGAGGACGGACAGACACACUGGGACAGAGGCACGGCCCAGACUCCUGAGGGAGGAAGCAGUGGGGAAUUUUAGGCGAUGGGGGAGACCCUGAUCCAGCCCUGCCGGGGGCGGGAAGAAGGCGCUCGGGUUGUAAAACGCUUUUGUUCGGGAAGAAAUCCUCUGGGCUAAUACGCCGGGGGGAUGACGGUACCGGAAGAAUAAGCACCGGCUAACUACGUG